rnacentral:lncRNA from 1 species
CAGUGUCUAAGUAAGAUCACAUCAGGCAGGGGUUGCCAGCCUGUGUUUGCAGAGUCUUUACAGGUGGGAUUUUCUACAAGGUGUUGCCUUUGCAGAUGAAAUGCUGACUGCUUGUGACUGAAAAUUGGUUAUUAGGGCUAAUUUUAGGUUUCCUUCAGAUCUGAUACUGUUCUCAUCUCAGAAAUAUGGGUGGAUAUUAUUAGGCCGAUAUUGCCAAUGUGAGUUGCUGAAGGCAGGUCUCUCCAGGAGUAUUCAACUCUGAGAAGAUCUCAUAGCAAGAUGCUGACAGGAUGCUGAGGGUACUAGCAGGUGUUGCUGUUUCUGCCCAGUGUCCCAGGCCUCCCCUGUCCUGCCCCAGGACCCCACAUUAGUCCUGAAGCUUUCAACCCCUGCCACAUCGAGGCCACAGCAGGACAGUGUUUAUAGUUCCCCACAGGCCUGCCUUGCCUGGCCGUGGGCCCUGCUGAACUGGGCCCACCCAUGGGCCCAUGUCCUGUCCUGGCCCUGUCCCAGUGUGUCCCCUAAGAAGCACCUAAUGCCAGGGGCUGCCCCAGUUUCCAGUCAAAGGACUACCCUGCUCCUGGCUAGGGUUGUGAGAUGGGGCCUGGUGGGAGGCCCAGUGCUUCCAGCCCUGGUCAGCCCCUGAUACUCCUGGGGAGCCCUGUCUGUGGGACUCUCAGUCUCCCCAUAACAUUACUAAACCAUCCUGACUGAUGAAUGAGAGCAAGAGAAGUGACUAGAAAAGGCACUGUGGAAGGUCAUUUCCUUAUACCCCAGUGGAAAAACUACAAAGCAGGGUGCACUGGAGGGGAGAAGUGGUGUAAUGAUCCAGAAGAUGAGAGGCUGCAGGUCCUGUCCAGCUUCCCAUGGGUGCUUCGGAGUAACACGAUGGAUGCCAAGAGUUUCACCUGUGAAUCAGUGAUAUCAGCAGUCUUCAAAUAAGGACAUGACUCUCCUGAGUAUGGAAGUACAAAAGAAGUCACUGGAGGAGCAACCUUGCUAGAGAAUAUGGC